AGAGUUUGAUUAUGGCUCAGGAUGAACGCUAGCUACAGGCUUAACACAUGCAAGUCGAGGGGUAGCAGGGUAGCAAUACCGCUGACGACCGGCGCACGGGUGAGUAACACGUAUCCAACCUUCCCAUAACUCAGGGAUAGCCUUUCGAAAGAAAGAUUAAUACCUGAUGGUACUUAUAUAAGGCAUCUUUUAUAAGUUAAAGAUUUAUUGGUUAUGGAUGGGGAUGCGUUCCAUUAGAUAGUUGGUGAGGUAACGGCUCACCAAGUCUUCGAUGGAUAGGGGUUCUGAGAGGAAGGUCCCCCACAUUGGUACUGAGACACGGACCAAACUCCUACGGGAGGCAGCAGUGAGGAAUAUUGGUCAAUGGGCGCGAGCCUGAACCAGCCAAGUAGCGUGAAGGAUGAAGGUCCUAUGGAUUGUAAACUUCUUUUAUAGUAGAAUAAAGUGAGCCACGUGUGGUUUUUGUAUGUAUACUAUGAAUAAGGAUCGGCUAACUCCGUGCCAGCAGCUGC
rnacentral:rRNA from 1 species